AGGAGUGUGGCUCAAUGGUUAGAGCAUUUGUCUAACAUGUGUGAGGCCCUGGGUUCAAUUCCCAGGACUGCUA
rfam:Heterocephalus glaber contig12982, whole genome shotgun sequence.